GACGAACCGUGCGAACGUUAUUCGGAAUCACUGGGCUUAAAGCGCGUGUAGGCGGGACGGCACGUCGGUCGCUGAAAUCCCCCGGCUCAACCGGGGAACGGGCACCGAUACGACCGUCCUGGAGGGACGUAGGGGGACCUGGAACUUCCGGUGGAGCGGUGAAAUGCGUAGAUAUCGGGAGGAACACCUGUGGCGAAAGCGGCUCACUGGACCACAACUGACGCUG
rnacentral:rRNA from 1 species